UACGGAGGGAGUAAGCGUUACUCGGAAUUACUGGGCGUAAAGGGCGCGUAGGCGAUUUUGUAAGUCUUGUGUGAAAGCCCAAAGCCUAACUUUGGAAGUGCACAAGAUACUGCGAGAAUUGAGUUCCGGAGAGGAAGAUGGAAUUCCCGGUGUAGCGGUGAAAUGCGUAGAUAUCUGGAGGAACACCGGUGGCGAAGGCGGCAUCCUGGACCGGUAUUGACGCUGAGGCGCGAAAGCCAGGGGA
rnacentral:rRNA from 1 species